GGGGGGGGGGGGGGGGGGGGGGGGGGGGGGGGGGGGGGGGGGGGGGGGGGGUGGGGCGGGGUCGUGCGGGUGGCGAGUGGCGGCGGGGUGGGGGAUCCAGCGGACGGUGCGUGUUCGGGGGGGAUGCCGUCGGGCCACAUAGGGUACUCCCGCAUACGACCUACGGGUUGCAGCAGGACGUCGUCGGACAUUGCGCGAGUGACUUGGCCGAUGUCGUAUGAGCUAGUUGGCGGGAGAAAGGCACACCAAGGCGACGAUCCGUAUGUGUGCCGAGAGGAUGAUCAGCCACACGGGAACUGAUACACGGUCCAGACUCCUACGGGAGGCAGCAGUGGGCAAUAUUGGGCAAUGGGCGCAAGCCUGAUCCAGCCAUACCGCGUGGGUGAAGAAGGCCUUCGGGUUGUAAAGCCCUUUUGUUGGGAAAGAAAAGCAGCAGGUUAAUACCCCGCUGUUCUGACGGUACCCAAAGAAUAAGCACCGGCUAACUUCGUG
rnacentral:rRNA from 1 species